AUUGAACGCUGGCGGCAUGCUUUACACAUGCAAGUCGAACGGCAGCGCGGGCUUCUGCCUGUCGGCGAGUGGCGAACGGGCGAGUAAUACAUCGGAACGUGCCCAGUAGUGGUGGAUAGCUCGUCGAAAGCCGGAUUAAUACCUCAUACGACCUGAGGUUGAAAGCGUGGGAUCUUCGUACCUCGCGCUUUUGGAUCGGCCUAUGGCAGAUUAGCUAGUUGGUGGGGUAAAGGCCUACCAAGACGACGAUCUGUAGCUGAUCUGAGAGGACGAUCAGCAACACUGGGACUGAGACACGGCACAGACUCCUACGGGAGGCAGCAGUGCGGAAUUUUCGACAAUGGGCGAAAGCCUGAUCUAGCAAUGCCGCGUGAGUGAUGAAGGCCUUCGGGUUGUAAACCACUUUUAGUGGGGAAGAAAAAGACUGUGCAAAUACCAAGAUUCGAUGACGGUACCCGCAGAGUAAGCAACGGCUAACUACGUG
rnacentral:rRNA from 1 species